rnacentral:rRNA from 1 species
CCUACGGGAGGCAGCAGUGGGGAAUAUUGGACAAUGGGGGCAACCCUGAUCCAGCCAUGCCGCGUGUGUGAAGAAGGCCCUCGGGUUGUAAAGCACUUUCAGUGAGGAAGAACGCCUGGUGGUUAAUACCCAUCAGGAAAGACAUCACUCACAGAAGAAGCACCGGCUAACUCCGUGCCAGCAGCCGCGGUAAUACGGAGGGUGCGAGCGUUAAUCGGAAUUACUGGGCGUAAAGCGCGCGUAGGUGGCUUGAUAAGCCGGUUGUGAAAGCCCCGGGCUCAACCUGGGAACGGCAUCCGGAACUGUCAAGCUAGAGUGCAGGCGAGGAAGGUAGAAUUCCCGGUGUAGCGGUGAAAUGCGUAGAGAUCGGGAGGAAUACCAGUGGCGAAGGCGGCCUUCUGGACUGACACUGACACUGAGGUGCGAAAGCGUGGGUAGCAAACAGGAUUAGAUACCCCUGUAGUC